rnacentral:lncRNA from 1 species
GGUAAAUAACUCAAGGAGGUCUCCUUCCUGAAGCCUGAACAUGUAUCUCCCAUAUUCCUUGUUUUUAACCUCAUGUACCUUUGAUUUAGAUAAUCAUUUGCUAGUGGAUCACUUGUUCACAAGAGUGGACCACUGAUGAACUAAAAGAUGUAUUUCUCCACCAUGGUUAUUAGCUGCUAAAUUACUUUCCCAGUGGUGGAACCUAGGUCUCCUACUCCCUUGGACCA